rnacentral:snoRNA from 1 species
ACAAAUCUAUGAUUGUUAUCCCUGUCUGAAAAUCUCAACUGAAGGGAAAUAAUUCAUUCUGAGGUUUAG